rnacentral:rRNA from 1 species
UACGUAGGGUGCAAGCGUUGUCCGGAAUUAUUGGGCGUAAAGGGCUCGUAGGCGGCCAACUAAGUCAGACGUGAAAUCCCUCGGCUUAACCGGGGAACUGCAUCUGAUACUGGAUGGCUUGAGAUUGGGAGAGGGAUGCGGAAUUCCAGGUGUAGCGGUGAAAUGCGUAGAUAUCUGGAGGAACACCGGUGGCGAAGGCGGCAUCCUGGACCAACACUGACGCUGAGGAGCGAAAGCCAGGGGAGCAAACGGG